UCCGUAGGUGAACCUGCGGAAGGAUCAUUGCAAAAAGAGGGUUUUCAGGUGGCGCCAGCCGCCUGGGAACAAACAAGGUCGACUGGGGGCGGGAUAAUAUAUUGUCUUGUCCCCGGUCUACACGUGCGCGUAUUCGUGUGGCAGUCUGAAUGUUUAUCAGUGCAAAACUUUUAACAAUGGAUCUCUUGGCUCUUGCAACGAUGAAGAACGCAGUAAAGUGCGAAAUGAAGUGCGAUUUGCAUGAAUCUGUGAGUCAUUAUAUCUUUGAACGCAACUUGCGCCCAGCGAUGGGCAUGUCUGUUUGAGUGUUGGCAAAUAAGUGAGAGUAGUGAAGACGAAAGUCCGAAACUGCACCCAAGGUGCCUGCAUUGGAUGCGGGUCAAAGCGCGCAAGGGUCGGCAAGACGGAGGCCUGUGCCAGAGGGCAAUGCUCUUCUCGGGCCGAGAGUCCCAAGACCACAACAAAUUUCCAUACCAUAUCUCAACCUCAAAUCAGGCAAGACCACCCGCUGAACUUAAGCAUAUCAAUAAGCGGAGGGAAGUCGGACUGGCCAAGGGGCACACCAGGGGGGGGGGAUA
rnacentral:rRNA from 1 species